rnacentral:lncRNA from 1 species
AAUUUGUAUGGAACCAAAAAAGACCUUAAAUGGCUAAAUCAAUCUUGAGAAAGACCAAAGCUGAAAGCAUCAAAUUAUAAUACAAUUCAAAUUAUAAUACAAAGAUUUCAAAUUAUAAUACAAAGACAAAGAUAUAGUAAACAAGACAAUAUAGUACUUUCAUAAAAACAGACACAUCAAAAGAGAGCACAGAGCCUAGAAAUAAACCCAUAAAUGUAUAAUCAACUGAUCUUUGACAAAGGCACAAAAAAUACACAAUGAGGAAACGAUAGUCUUUUCAAUAAAUCAUGUUGGGAAAACUGGAUAUCCACAUAUAUGAAAUUAACCCUUAUCUUACACCAUAUACAAAAAUUAACUGAAAAUAAAGACAAAUUUAAGACUUGAAACUGUAAAACUACUAGAAGAAAAAUGGGGUUGGCUGGGGGAGGUGUACUUGACAAUGGACUUGGCAAUAAUUUUUUGGAUAUGACACCAAAAGGACAGGCAAUAAAAGCAAAAAUAAACAAGUACAAGCAAAUCAAAUUUUAAAAGUUUCUGCACAGCAAAGGAAACAAUCAACGAAAGAAAAUGCAACCAAGGGAGAAAAUAUUUACAAAACAUAUAUCCAAAAUAUAUAAGGAAUGUAUACAACUCAAUACAGAAAAAACAAAUAACCUAAUUAAAAAACAGGCAAAGGAUCUGAAUAGACAUUUUUUCUAAAGAAGAUAUACAAGUGUCCAACAGGAGUGAAAAGGUCCUCAACAUCAUUAAUCCUUAGGGAAAUGCAAAUGAAAACCACAAAGAGACAGCACUUCACACCUGUUAGGAAGGCUGUUGUCAAAAAGUCAAAAGAUAGCAAGUGUUGAUGAUGAAGUGGAGAAAUAAAACGUCUUGUACACUCUUGGUAGGAAAGUAAAUUCGUACAGCCAUUAUGGAAAACAGUUUGGUGGUUCCUCAAAAAAUUUAAAAUAAAUCUAUUAUAUGAUCUAGCAACCUCACCUGUUAGUAUAUAGCUAAAGGAAUUGAAAUCAGUAUCUCAAAGACAUAUUUGCACUUCCAUAUUCAUUGCAGCAUUAUUCAGAAUAAGCAAGAGGUGGAAUUAACCUAAGUGUCCAUAAGUGGAUGAAUGGAUAAAGAAAAUGUAAUAUAUAUUUAUCAUGGAAGAUUACUCAACCUUAAGAAAAAAGAAAUUCUGGUAUUCGUGACAACAUGAAUGAAACUGGAGGACCUUAUAGUAGGUGAAAUAAGCUAGUAACAGAAAGACAAAUACUGCAUGAUAUCUCUUAUAUGUGGAAUCUAAAAACGUUGAAUUCAUAGAAACAGAGUUUCAGUUAUAAGUUUUAGAGAUCUAAUGUACAGCAUGGUAACUAUAGUUAAUGAUAAUUUAUAGUAUACUUAAAGUUUGCUAAGAGAGUUUGCUUAAUUGUUCUCACCACACACACACACACACACACACACACAAAUAGUAACUAUGUAAGGUGAUGGAUAUGUUAAUUAGCUUGGUUGUGGUAAUCAUUUCACAAUGUGUAAAUAUAUCAAACAAUCACAUUGCAGCAUUAUGUAUAUACACGUUUUAUUUAUUAAUUAUACCUCAAUAAAGCUGGAAAAAUGUAAAGCAUAAACGUAAGUAAGAAAUCCAGGUCAAAGGGUGCUGAUGUUAAUCCAGCAAUAUUGCAUAUGCAUUCCUACAUGUAAUGUGUCAGUUUGAGGACUUUCUCCUAGUGUGCUCUAAAUUAAGGUUUAGGGAAUAGGGGGAGGAAGUUGUCUCUUCUGCUUGGAUAAAUUUGCUUGUUUCUUUAACAAUUUAACAGUUAAACAGUUUAUUUUUAAGAAACAACAAAUUUUUCAAUUUUCAGAAAUUUAAAAAUUAAUUUCUAAGAGGGGGAUUGGUACAAAAUUCAAAUGCAAGAUUAUUUGAAUUCUUUGUUCAGAUAAUUAUAUUUUACAACUGAAUAACAAAGUCAUGGAAAUGCUAACACAUACGUAUAUUGGUCUUUUCCUUUACUGGUUUCACAUUAUUUUUAUUUGGGAGGGAAGAUCUUUCCUCGUAAUUUUCCUUUUAAAAAUAUUUUGAUUUCACUCAUUGUUUCUUUCAGGUGACUCUUAGAAUCAUCUAGUCAAAAUGGAAUUGUGACUGUAAGUGCACUAAGAAAAGAUCCCUUUGGGAAGAAUGAACUUAUUUUGACAAAUAUGUUCAAUAUUUUUACAUAUUUAAAAUAUUGACUCUCACCCAGGAAAAUAUGUCUUAAUUUAUUCAAAACUUUUCUUUUGAACUAAUGGAAAGUUUCAUAGUUUUACUGAAGUCUUGAAUAUUCCUGACAUAUUUAUUCUUCAAUAGUUUGUGAUUUUUAUUUCUUCGUGAAUAGAAUUGUUUCCCCUGGUUAUUCUGGCACAUUGAAAGCUAACAGUCUUUGUAUAUUUAUUUUUAUUCAGCUGCAUUUUAGAAUUCCUAUUUGUUCUAAUGAUUUUAGGUUGAUUUUCUUGCUUUCUGUACAAAAUGCUGUCAUGUUGAGUGGUUGAAAACCUUAUAAGAAAUAUUAUACUAAUCUAUUACAGGGAGAAAAGAUAGAUUCUACUAAGAAACAUUUAGAACAAGAUGUUAGUAUGUAAACUCUUAAGUGUGACUUCCAUAGAGCAGUUGUUCUUAGGUUUGACUUGCAUUGGAAUCACCUGGGGAGCUUUAGAAAACACUGAUGCCUAGCCGCCUCCCUCAGAUACUCUAAUUUCUGUGCAUCAGGACAUUAAAACUUCUUUCUUUUUCUCUUACUUUUUUUUUUUUUUUUUUUUUGACAAGGCCUUUCUGUGUCACACAGGCUGAGUGCAGUGGCACGAUCAUAGCUCACUGCAGCCUUGAUUACCUGGGCUUCAGUGAUCCUCCUGGAACUCAGUUUGGAUCAUGUAAAAUUUGAGAUACCUAUCAAAGUCUAACAAGAAAGGUUAAGUAGGCAGGUUAAUAUGGUCCAAGUUUAGAAGAAAAGUCUGAGCUGAAGAAAUAAAUUAGUGAUACUUAAAACCGUGUGGCUAGAAGAGCUCACCAAAGCAGUACAUGCACAUAUAAAAAUAGAGAUGUUUAAGGGAUGAACUCCGGGGCUAACCAGAGCUAUGAGACAGAAUACAAGCCAAGGGAAGAAAAAUAUUUACAGCCGAAAGGAGUGAUCGACUGUAUCAAAUUCUGCUGCUAAGUCAAGUAAGAUGAGGACAGAGAACUGACCAUUGGAUUUGGCAAACUUUAGGUUUGGUUUUUUAUUGUGGAAUCAUCUCACUAACUGGCUACACUUCCUUUCCUGGUUUUCCAUCUUGUCCCCCCUCUACUUUGCUUCUCAGUAUAUUAUGAAGAUGUUAUGAGGAAAAGAGACAGUGUUCUUAUGCUUAAGGAUCAGAAGACCCAUAUACAAUUUCCUAAGUCUAGGAAUGUUACUCCUCUUUCCUGUGCCUUCUCUCCGAAAAAAUCUUUCUUCGCUCAUUUUGUUUGACUUACUUUAUGACUAAGGGUUGUUGAUUUAUCAAAAUCAGCUUUUUAAAAGUUUAUACUAGUAACUACUUUAGAAUAAAGAGAAUGUCAUAUAGCAGAAAUUGAAGUAGAAUUUAAAACUCAUUUUAUUGCAUUUUCUUAGAGAAUCAUCAAACACUAGAUGAGCAAGUGUUGAGGUAAAGAGUGUAUUACCCACUGUCAGAGAAGACUUUUGGAGGAGUUUAGAAAUUUGCUACACUUCAUGGUUAUCAAUUCCAGUUUCCCGUUAGUUCCCACUUCCCAUGAUAUCUCCUCAUAUGAUAUAUGUUGAAAUUAGGCCCAAAAAUAGCUCUGAUUUCCUGUUCAGUUUUAGAAUCUACAGUGCUGUCUUUUAUUUAUUUAUCUAUUUAUUUAUCUUUUUAGAGACAGUGUUGUUAUAAUUGCCCCAGCUGAUCUUGAACUCCUGGCCUCAAGCAAUCCUCUUGCCUCAGCUCCCAAGUAGCUUGUAUUACGGGAGUGAGCCACUGCACCUAGGUCUACAAUGUUAUCAUUUUAUGUUCUCUCAUCUGAACAGUCUAUAAUUUUAAAGAUCCAAAUUCCACUACAAUAUUUGUUUGUGAUGCUUGCCAUCUCUUUGCCUGCUAUAAAAAUUAAAUUUUAAAAUAGAGGCUAGUAGAUUAAUUUUUAAAACAAGAUUUACACUAGUUUCUUUCAUGGUACCAAGUUAUCAUUUCUGAGCGUUCUAAAUGAGGUAUAUUCCUCUUUGAAUAAUACUGCAUUCAUUUAUUUGCCAAGUAUGUAUUUAUUAGCUACUAUGUGCCUGGUGCAAUGAAAAUGUUAAAGAAGGCAGUUCUUACUCUCAGUCAGUGGAGGGGAUGAAUAGAUGAUCAAAAGAAGGUGAUGCUUAGCUUCCAGGAGGGGACCAAGAGUAUGCCUUAGACGAUAUAAAGUCUUGAGCUGAGACUUGAAGGAUAAGAAGGAGUUUUCGAGAUAAUGUAUAAGGGGAGAGGCAUUCCAGGCAGAGAAAAUACACAUAGAUCUGAGGGAAAAUGGCAUAUCUGGGGGGAAUGCUGAUCAUUUACUCUUGCUGGUCACAGAACGCAUUGAGGAACCUACAGACAAUGAGCAGGAGCUUUAGGUAAGAGUUAGAAUAUGUAGGAUAUAUGUAUAUACUGAACUAUAUACUGGAGUAAAGAAUUUGGGGCUUUAUUUUAUUUCUUCCUCCAGGACGGUGGCAAUGAGAAAAGGCUUUCUCUUUGGGGUGCACUAGGGUAGUGGUGUUAUUUGUCAGAAUCUCUAAAGGCCAUCUGUGGAGUCUUAACAUUCUGAAGCACUCACUCCCUUUGGAUAUUGUAAUGCAACCCCCCCUCCCCAUCUCCCAUUGUCACACAUCCUUCCUUCCACAGGGACGUUACCUUCACAUACUGUGGGUUGAACCUGUCCCUCAAAGUGGUCUGGGCCUGAGAACCACUGCAGGAGACAAGAAGAAGCCACAGGAGCAUUUUAGAUGGAAAUAUUGGCAUAGUUCCAGAGGAGUUAAAGGACUCACCCAGGCCGUACAGCUGGU